rnacentral:rRNA from 1 species
AGGCUCGUCAAUCGAAAUGAGUACAAUUUAAAUCCUUUAACGAGUACCAAUUGGAGGGCAAGUCUGGUGCCAGCAGCCGCGGUGAUUCCAGCUCCAAUAGCGAAUAUUAAAUUUGUUGCAGUUAAAAAGCUCGUAGUUGGAUCCAAGGUUAGGCAUGCCUGUCUGUUCUUAGUAGCAUGACUGUGUGUGUCUGCCUUUAUUAGUUGAAUGUUCAUUAUGGUGGUCUUCAUCGACUGCUAUGAUGUGCUCAACACGUUUACCUAGAAAAAAUCAGAGCGAUCAAGGCAGGCCUUCGUGCUUGUAUGUUGUUGCAAGGAAUAAUAGAAUAGGACUUCGGUUCUAUUUUGUUGGUUUUGAGAAUUGAAGUAAUGAACAAUAGAGACAGUCGGGGGCAUUUGUAUGGUGGCGUUAGAGGUGAAAUUCUGAGAUCGUCGCCAGACAAACUACUGCGAAAGCAUUUGCCAAGGAUGUCUUCAUUAAUCAAGAACGAAAGUCAGAGGUUCGAAGACGAUCAGAUACCGUCCUAGUUCUGACCAUAAACGAUGCCGACCUACAAUCGGGGGUGGUUUAUUAUAUUGACCCUCCCGGCUGUCCUCAGGAAACUUUAAGUUGGUUCUGGGGGGAAUAUGGUCUCAUACUGAAACUCAAAGGAAUUGACGGAAGGGCACCACCAGGAGUGGAGCCUGCGGCUUAAUUUGACCCAACACGGGGAAUCUCACCCGGUCCGGACACUGGUAGGAUGGACAGAUUGAUGGCUCUUUCUUGAUUCAGUGGGUGGUGGUGCAUGGCCGUUCUUAGUUGGUGGAGUGAUAUGUCUGGUUAAUUCCGAUAACGAUCGAGACUCUGUCCUGCUAAAUAGUCCAGUGGCAUCAAUCACUAUGUGAUUACAGCUGCUGUUACUUCUUAGAGGGAUUCGCGGAUUUAAACCGCAAGAAAUAGAGCAAUAACAGGUCUGUGAUGCCCUUAGAUGUCCGGGGCCGCACGCGCGCUACAUUGACAGUAGAAGCGAGUAUUUCUACCUGGUUCGAAAGAAUUGGGAAAUCUUCGAAUUACUGUCUCCACAGGGAUUGAGGUUUGCAAUUUUGCCUCAUGAACGAGGAAUUCCCAGUAGGCGCAAGUCAUCAGCUUGCGUCGAUUACGUCCCUGCCCUUUGUACACACCGCCCGCCGCUACUACCGAUUGAGUGCACUAGUGAGGACCUCGGAUUGAGAGCAUAGUGGCGCAAGUUACUUUGUUUUCGAAAAGUGGUUCAAAUUUGUGCAUUUAGAGAUAGUAAAAGUCGU